AAGGCAAACAGAGAGAAGACAAACAUGAGGAUGACUAAACGAUACACGUCUGCGUGGAGAAAUAACUCCACCACCUGUAGAGGAAUACUUUUAACAACAAGGACAACAGAGGAUGCACCAACCACAGCAAUAUUGGAGAUAGUGCUCUACAGCAGGG